rnacentral:rRNA from 1 species
UCUGUUGUUAGGGAAGAACAAGUGCGAGAGUAACUGCUCGCACCUUGACGGUACCUAACCAGAAAGCCACGGCUAACUACGUGCCAGCAGCCGCGGUAAUACGUAGGUGGCAAGCGUUGUCCGGAAUUAUUGGGCGUAAAGGGCUCGCAGGCGGUUUCUUAAGUCUGAUGUGAAAGCCCCCGGCUCAACCGGGGAGGGUCAUUGGAAACUGGGAAACUUGAGUGCAGAAGAGGAGAGUGGAAUUCCACGUGUAGCGGUGAAAUGCGUAGAGAUGUGGAGGAACACCAGUGGCGAAGGCGACUCUCUGGUCUGUAACUGACGCUGAGGAGCGAAAGCGUGGGGAGCGAACAGGAUUAGAUACCCUGGUAGUCCACGCCGUAAACGAUGAGUGCUAAGUGUUAGGGGGUUUCCGCCCCUUAGUGCUGCAGCUAACGCAUUAAGCACUCCGCCUGGGGAGUACGGUCGCAAGACUGAAACUCAAAGGAAUUGACGGGGGCCCGCACAAGCGGUGGAGCAUGUGGUUUAAUUCGAAGCAACGCGAAGAACCUUACCAGGUCUUGACAUCCUCUGACAACCCUAGAGAUAGGGCUUUCCCUUCGGGGACAGAGUGACAGGUGGUGCAUGGUUGUCGU